GGACGGUGUGAGGUGCGCUGUGCUGUGUGUUUUGUGUCUGUAAUCUGUUGAGUGUUGAUCCUCGUCUCGAAGUCACAAAACGAUGAAAAAUGUAUCCACGGCUUCUCUUCCGGAGCCCAAAUCGUUGCAGCAGGGAGAACCGAUUUAUCGUAAUUAAUCAAGAAUGGCACUGCGUGUCGCAGAAACCAGUUUGCUCGGAUUCUUUUACCAUCCAAUUCUUUCCAUUUCUCUGAAAUCCAACAAACUUUGUAGCAACGCAUGUUGUCUCUUCUUUUGUGGUAGUACCAAACAAUGUUUCAGUAGUAGUAGUACAGCAUCCACACCGAAGGAAUUUUCGGGGAAGAACGCUUACGACGUGUUGGGGGUUUCAGAAACCAGUACCUUAGCUGAAAUGAAGGCUUCUUUCUUUAAAUUGGCUAAAGAAACCCACCCGGACCUUGUUGGCUCCAACAACGAUCCCACAGCCUCCCAACGAUUCGUCCAAAUCCUUGCAGCUUAUGAGAUUCUUUCAGAUUCUGAAAAGAGGGCUUGCUAUGAUAGGUAUCUAUUCUCUCAGAGAGAGGUUUUACAAAAACGUCCGGAAAGAGGUUCUGCUAUGUUCAUGUAUGAUACUCAUAUAACAACAACCAAGCAUAUGGAAGUUGUUGAAUGGCUAAAAUGGUAUAGGUUUGCUAUAAAUGACAUUCUGUUACAGAAGAAGAUGGUAACUGGAUCGGGGUAUUUUGACAUACUUGAGGGGGAAUUUUAUUCAGCCAUUCAUGCAGCUUACUAUGGCCCCAUAAUUGAGUCAAUGGACUUUCUUCCAGAAUGUUUCGAAGCUGAGGAAAGGUCUACAUCUGGAACCCCUGAGGUACUCCAUUUGGUUUCAGGGCGUGAUCUUUUGGGUAUUGUAUGCAUACCCAACAAGUUUCCUGAAUUAUCAGAUGUUCAUUCUGUAAAGUUAGCUUCUUCUAUGUCUAAGUCAUAUGGGAUUUGUCAUUCUGUCAACCAUACACAGCUUUCGAUGAAUGCUCCAUCUUCAGAUAAGGAAGAGAACCCACAAAUGCAAUUCAGAUAUCAAAAUGGCUGUGAUUCAGAUGUUUACAAAGACUUAGAACUGCAUAUUUCAGGGAAAGUGGUUGCUGUAGCUACUAGAAUUCCUCCUAAAAAGUCUUACAAUGAUAUUCAUGAUGAAGAUUCUCAAGACCAGAUACAUGUUUUUCUUAAUUCACAUGAAGAUCCAAUAUAUGCUAGCAAAACUCCUUCAAUGAACUCCUUUUCAGGCAGUUCAGUUAGAUCUGGGAUUCUAUUGGGAACAAUAAUCGGAUUGGGGACCAGUCCAGAGGAAGACUCAUGUUCUGUCUACAAUAACAGCGGUACAAAAACUCACAUGAUUAUGAAACAUAGAACAUUGCUGGUGAAGCAUAUGCAUUGGUAUCAAGUUAGAGAUGAUGUUUCUGUUUGCGAAUGUAGAUGCAGUAGAGCCCAGUUACCGCCUAGCAGAUUUUGGCUGUUUGAACCUCGCUGCAGCAUGCAUGACAUUGGUGGUUGGUAUGUUGAAACAUUUGGACGAGAUAAGAAAGGGAGGACAGUACCUUCCCAAAGACUGUGGCAUGGCUUUGAUACAACUGAACUACCUGAAAAGAGACUCCAUCCUGCAAUGUAUUUGCUUGCUCUUGCAUAUAGAACUCUUGAUCUUGAAGAAGCAAAACGAAGGAAACGAACAGUUAAGAACAUUCUUGAGCCAAAACUUUUCAGCAUUCUUCAUUGGUGCAAGAAACUUGUUUACUGAGGAUAUAUGGAUUAUCAGGGACGUGAAGUGUGUCUGAGCUGAUCACUAAGCACAAGCCAUUAACCUUUGUAUGCAUAUCCUGAGCAUUAAAGAUGGGUCGUGAUAUAUGUGAAGUUUGUUUAAUCAGUUGUGUUGCCUUGCGUCUUCAGGAUGUCAUGACUUCGAGUCAAAGUGUUGUGCUCCAAUUGAUUCUUGGACAUCUCUCCGAGAUGCUUCUCAGUGAAUGAGUGGCUAAUACCAGAUCAAAGAGGAAAAUGAGCUGCAUUCUAUCAAUAUCACGUCCAUGUGAAAGCUUUGAGCUUAUUUUUCUACUUGUACAUCUAGAAAUAAAACGUUUUGAGUAAAAUGGAUAAGAGAGACUCACCUCGUUUUGAACUUGAGAAGUGCAUUAUUAAAUUGUACUCUUGUUGUAUGAAUUUCCUUGGGUCUUUUUUUCCAUCUAUUUAUUCUUAUAUAGCUGUUCAACUGGAUAAGAGAGACAACUUGACAUAUAUGUACAUUUUUGAAAUUCUGUCUGA